rnacentral:rRNA from 1 species
AUAGAGACUCAGAGCUGCAUAUCAAUAAGCGGAGGAAAAGAAACUAACAAGGAUUCCCUUAGUAACGGCGAGUGAAGCGGGAAGAGCUCAAAUUUGAAAUCUUCAAGGUUCUACCUUGACGAAUUGUAGUUUAAUAGAAGUGUUUUCUGUUAGUAGAGUUGGCUAAAAGUUCUUUGGAAUAGGACAUCAUAGAGGGUGAGAAUCCCGUAUUUGAUCAUUCUUUCUAGCUGUGUGAUACACUUUCAACGAGUCGGAUUGUUUGGGAAUGCAGUCCAAAAUGGGUGGUAAAUUUCAUCUAAAGCUAAAUAUUGGCGAGAGACCGAUAGCGAACAAGUACCAUGAGGGAAAGAUGAAAAGAACUUUGAAAAGAGAGUUAAACAGUACGUGAAAUUGUCAAAAGGGAAGCGUUUGACACCAGUGUUGUUUUUCUCGAAAAUCAAUUACAAAUGAUUUGGAUUUUUGAGUAGUUAUGACUUCAUCAGCUUGCUUCUCUCUUUACUACUUUCUUAAUGCACUUUUCGGUUAACAAGUCAACAUCAAUUUCUUUUGUUGUAAAAGAGUCAUGAGGAAGGUGGCUUUUCUUUCGGAGAAAGUGUUUAUAGCCUUGUGCCUCUGCAAUCGGAGAGAUUGAGGUCUGCAGCGUAGAUCCUUCGGGGUUAGAUACAUUUGUGCUAAGUUAUAGUCUUUCAUAGACAACUUGUUGACUAUAAUUAAGUCCUUGUAACUUACUCGCUUAUGCUAUUUUACCUACGCUUAGGAUGUUGAAGAUAUGCGCGACACG